UACGUAGGGUGCGAGCGUUGUCCGGAAUUACUGGGCGUAAAGGGCUCGUAGGUGGCCAACUAAGUCAGACGUGAAAUCCCUCGGCUUAACCGGGGAACUGCGUCUGAUACUGGAUGGCUUGAGUUCGGGAGAGGGAUGCGGAAUUCCAGGUGUAGCGGUGAAAUGCGUAGAUAUCUGGAGGAACACCGGUGGCGAAGGCGGCAUCCUGGACCGACACUGACACUGAGGAGCGAAAGCCAGGGGAGCAAACGGG
rnacentral:rRNA from 1 species